rnacentral:sRNA from 1 species
GUAAUGUGUAUUCUGGACUUGACAACAGUGUUCUUUCAAUUCAAGGCUUUGUUUCUUAAAACCAGAUUCUAAAAAACGAGAACGACAUAAUUACUAUUUGAAUUGUUCCGUGAAAAUCCCAAAUGAACAUUAACGUAAAUGUUUUUCAGUGGACAAAAAAGCAUAAAGUUCUAUAAAUAGUUUGAAAGAACUCGGUCUAGAUCUUAGAAGAAAAUGUGCAGACAUGUGUGUACA